AAACCAAGAAGAUUAAGUCAUGCCUAUUCGGUAAAAAGAUAGUUAGGUUUUUAGAAAAUAGUUUCCUUAAUUUUUAUUAAGAAGUAAAAUUCGCAAAUAAUACAGAAAUUUAAUCGAAGCUUAAAAACUGAAGCUAUGAAAUCCCUGAGGGAAACUGGGAUUAGAUACCCCAUUAUUCUAGGAAGUAAAUUAAUACUAGUUUACCAGAGUACUACGAAUUUAUAACAUUUAAAACUCAAAGAGCUUGGCGGUGUUUUAGACUUUUUAGGGGAACCUGUCUCAUAAUCGAUAAUCCACGUAAAACCUGACCUUCAUUUGCUUUCAGUUUGUAUACCGUCGUCGUCAGGUAACUUUUAAGAAAAAAGAAGUUAGCAAAAGAAUUCUUAAUAAAUUCUCACGUCAGAUCAAGGUGCAGCUUAUAUAAAGGAAGAGAUGGGUUACAAUUAUAAGAGUUAUAACUACGAAAUAAUAAUUUUAAACAAUAAUUAUAAAGGAGGACUUAAAAGUAAAAUAGAAUAUAUAAAUGUGUUGAAUUAGGCUCUGAAACGUGC
rnacentral:rRNA from 1 species